rnacentral:misc_RNA from 1 species
UCUUGGUCAUUUAGAGGAAGUAAAAGUCGUCACAAGGUCUCCGUUGUCUUGGUCAUUGAGAGGAAGUAAAAGUGGUAACAAGGUUUCAGUCGGUGAACCCGCGGCAGGAUCAUUAUAGAAUGAACCCCCCCGCCCAAGCCUCCCGCGGAAGCUGGGGUCCUCUUUUUUACCCCGUGCAAUUAGUGAAGUAUGAGUAUUAUCUACGAAAUAGUCAAAACUUUCAACGGUGGAUCUCUUGGUUAAGGCAUCGAUGAAGAACGCAGAGAAAUGCGAUAAGUAAUGUGCAUUGCAUAAUUCAGUGUAUCAUCGAAUCUUUGGACGCCCAUUGCUCCCUCGGGCAUUCCGGGGGGCAUGCCUGUUCGAGCGUCAUUACACCCCUCAAGCCUAGCUGGUUAUUGGGCC